GAACAGCUGGGGAGCUUUGCUGCAGGCUGUACAUGAGCCUUGCCGAGGCUGAAGACACAUCUCCAAAGCUUCCUGCGGAUCUUCUCCAAUCUAUCUGGCUUUGGAUUACGGUUUAGGAUUGGCCUAAGCCUGAAACGUCUUCAAGGCACACAACAACAACAACAGCAGCAACAACAACAACCCCAAUCAACUUGACUAUCUCAUCAGCCAAAAGCAGGCCUAUGUUUCUCACUGAAGUACUGGCAGGACUCACAGGGAAACCACGUGUGAGCAUGCGGCAGUCAUACCAAGUGGCACUUGAG
rnacentral:lncRNA from 11 species